AGAGAGAGAGAGAGAGAGAGAGAGAAGAGGGGGAGACUCACACAGAGACCUGCUUUCCUGAGCUGAGCUGCUGGUUCCCAAGCAGAAAGUAUUAGGAGAAACACAGCAUCUUGUCUCUUUGCUGCAUUUACACAAUGAAAUCACUUCUAUUUUUAUUCCUGCUCACCGGCCGUUUUUGCUUGCAUCCACUCCGAGCCGUGGACGAUGGGAACAACCAAGUACUUAAAAACAAACAGACAAAAAACAAAAGAGGAAAAGAAAAAAAAAACAACAAACAAACAAACAAAAAAAACAGAAACAAAAACAAACAAACAACAAACAAACCCAACCAGGCUGGGAUGAGGAUUACUCACUUUAGCGCUGGCUGGACCCGGCCGGGAGGCAGCGGGGCUGGGAUUGUGCCGGGUUUCAAGGACACGGGAGAUGAUCAGGACUUUGGGAGCCAACAUCUGCCUGGCUGGUGACGUCAGCAGCCCCGUGUAAUCCUCUUGUACUGAAGGCAGAUGCCUUAUUUGUUUGGCUGGAGAGGCAUUAAUCCCUAAUUCUGGAGCAGCAAGCGAGGGGGAGAGACCGGACCGCUUCCUACCCCCCGAAAGCAGCUAGCGGGGCUCUCCUCCACUCCUGCGCUCCGCGGAUCCGACUGGGCAGAGGAGCCGUCAGCCCUCGGCAGGCGGCCGCACGCAGGAGCUGCGGUGCCGAGGGCGGAGGGGGGGGGGGGCCGGACCCGCCUGCCCAGUUUGCCCUCGGACGCCCCAGCAAGCCACGGGGAAAAACCCUCCGGAAAGCCCAGCUCGCCGCCGGAAUGCGGCCGCCGCCGGCAUCCCAGCGCAGCCCGGUUCGCCUCUCCUCUCCCGCCCGGGCCCUGGCGCGGAGGCAGCAGUCGAGGUCAGCCCGCCCGGUUCCCGGGCUCCGGCCGGGGUCGAGUCCGCAGGGCGAUGCACGGUGCCCGGCCGCCCCGCUCCUCCCCGGCGUGCCAUCCGCACCGAGAAGGAAUAGUCCCCGUCCUGAGCCGGGAAAGAUGGCAAUGAGCUUAGUAAUAAUAAUAAAAAAAUCUUAGGCUGAUUUUUUUUUUUUUUUUUGCUAUUGUUAUUAUUGUAAUGACUUCCACCCCUCAUUUCCUCACUCGCCCAGUUCAGCGUAGGCAAGGCCAGAUGGGCUGCCCAGACCCUCCCGGGAAAGGGGCAGGUGCGAGUGAGUUACAUUUUUUUUUUUUUUUUUUUCCGCUUUACAAAGAAAGAUGACACGUCCUGCCCUUUCAUUUUUCACUGCCGAAAGACACCCCCCCACCCCCCCCUCUUUCCCCGCCGCCUCGGCCGAGAGGAGCGGGGCUGCUCUGGGGGUGCGGGUGUCCCCCCCCCGCGCUCCAGCGGAGCAGCAGGACCCGGCGGAUCGAGGCAGCCGGAGAGACACGGUCCCUCCCAGCCAGGGAUGCCAACCCACAGACGUCGAGUCGGGGAGAGACAACUCCUGCGUUUAAAAUCACGCGAAGACGUUGGCGAAAUUAAAGCAGUCGCCUGGAAGUGUGUAAUAAACACACGUUUAAUUUCCUUCUUUUUUUUUUUCUUUUUUUUUCUUUUUUUUAAUCCGUUAAAUACACGUUUAACAGCUUCCUGGGCAUUGCAAACAACAAACGGGCUAGUAAGAAAACUCGAGCAUGAAUUACACGCAGCCCAGGCCAGGAUGGGACUAGGGCGGAGGGAAAUGACCGUUUUUUGUUUUGGUUUGGUUUGGUUUUUUUUUUGUCUUUUCGGGAAUCAGUUGCUAUUCUGCUUCCAGAGAGAGAGAGAGAGAGAGAGAGGGAGCGCUCCAAGGCUCUGACUCUCCGUGUUCACAGCGGACCUUGAUUUAAUGUCAUACAAUUAAGGCACGCGGUGAAUGCCAAGAGCGGAUCCUCUAAGGCAGCAUGAAAGAUUUCGCUAGAACGUAACAUAAGAAUGUUCAUAAUAAAAAUAAUAGCAAUAAGUUUAAAAUAAAUUUUAAAAGAAAAAAAAAAAAAAGGAGAGACGAAGCAAUAAAGAGCUCGGCAGCCUGUACUCACCUACGGAAAGCGAGACGGAGCAGGACCGGCGGACUGAACGGCUCAGCCCGGCGGAGAGGAGGUGCCGCUGCCAGGGGAUGGGCGCCCGCCGGGGCCGCUGUCAGCUGCAGGUAACGGGGCCGUGGGGGGGUACUGGAGCGGUGCGGUAGCCGUGGUGGUUUCUCAAGGUAGUGGUGACUCGACGUCUCGCUUUCCUGGGCUAAACCAUGUAAAGUCGCUUAAUGGGAAAUAAAUACAUUUUCGAAUAUUA